UACGUAGGGUGCAAGCGUUAAUCGGAAUUACUGGGCGUAAAGCGUGCGCAGGCGGUGGUGUAAGACCGAUGUGAAAUCCCCGGGCUCAACCUGGGAACUGCAUUGGUGACUGCAUCGCUAGAGUAUGGCAGAGGGGGGUGGAAUUCCACGUGUAGCAGUGAAAUGCGUAGAGAUGUGGAGGAACACCGAUGGCGAAGGCAGCCCCCUGGGCCAAUACUGACGCUCAUGCACGAAAGCGUGGGGAGCAAACAGG
rnacentral:rRNA from 1 species